GUUAGGAAUAUUGGACAAUGGGCGCAAGCCUGAUCCAGCCAUGCCGCGUGAGUGAUGAAGGCCUUCGGGUUGUAAAGCUCUUUAGUCCACGAAUAUAAUGACUGUAGUGGAAGAAUAAGCCCCGGCUAACUUCGUGCCAGCAGCCGCGGUAAUACGAAGGGGGCGAGCGUUAUUCGGAAUCACUGGGCGUAAAGCGUGCGUAGGCUGUUUUGUAAGUCAGAAGUGAAAGCCCAGGGCUGAACCCUGGAAUUGCUUUUGAAACUACAAGACUCUGAUUCGGUAGAGGAUAGCGGAAUUGGCAGUGUAGCAGUGAAAUGCGUAGAUAUUGACAGGAACACCAGUGGCGCAAGCGGCUAUCUGGACCGAUAUUGACGCUGAGGCACGAAAGCGUGGGGAGCAAACAGGAUUAGAUACCCCAGUAGUCC
rnacentral:rRNA from 1 species